CUCUGUUUUGGUGGGGUCGACAUUUCAGUAGAUUUACUCACUAACAUUGUUGUGGAAACACAAUAACCAAGGAAAGUAAAUGUACACUUCCUGCAUUACUGCAUAACUUGAAAUACUACUGAAAUUCACACAAAAUAAAACAAUUAAACAUUGAGACCAUUAAACAAAGCACACUGGGUAACUAAUUCAACACGUGAACUGGAUGCUAUAGACUCAUCACUAGGCUCUUCAGUCAUUGUUUAUUUUAGCAUAGGUAAAACUGCCGAAGCUGAACAUUAUCCAAAACUCCAUUUCUCAGAUGAGCGUCAAUGUGGGAGCUUGCAUGCAACCACUUCUUCCUUCU